rnacentral:lncRNA from 1 species
AAGAUAUAAGAUACAAUUUGCAAAACACAUGAAACUCAAGAAGAACGAAGACCAAAAUGUGGACACUUUGCCAUUUUUAGAAAUGGGGAACAAAACACCCAUGGAAGGAGUUGCAGAGUCAAAGUUUGGAGCUGAGAUGAAAGGAUGGACCAUCUGGAGACUGCCAUACCCGGGGAUCCAUCCCAUAAUCAGCCUCCAAACGGACAGUAGUUUUUAAAGUUGUAAUAUUUCUUCGGCACAUUGGUCAUAGCUUCAAUUCCACGUAACUCACUGAGAGUCACAGAAAACAAAUAGAACAUUAAUGAGAUAUGGCAACAGUUAUACUGCAGUUAUUUAGUGAUUUAACUUACUGAAUUUGCAAUAUUGGUCAUUUCCAAAAUGCUCUCAUUUUCAAUCCAGUGUCAAUACUAUUUCCCAAUACCUUUCAACAUUUCAGAAAUAGUCAGAACCCAGCUGUUAGCUGCCAUUCUGUGCCAAAUCUCUACUGCUCGUCAAUGUUACCUUUUAAAUAUUAACCUAUUCAGGUAUUUUUAUUUAAAACAAUUUACAUCUCCUAGUAAUUUUUUAAAUUAUUGGUAAAAUGCAAUUUUGCAAUUUUGCAUAAUAUCACAUGACUCAGUAGGCAUCUAGCAUAUAUACAUGAGACAUUCUUUCAUUUAUUUUUAUUUUUAUUUUUUUAAGAGGGCCAAGCCAGGGCUUUGCACAUGCCUAACAGACAUUCUACCAUGGUAUUGUCUCUCUAGUCCUUAAGGAUUUUGAAACAAAAAUCUUGGAUGCUGUCUAAGUAUACAUAUGACCAUUGGAGGCUGAACUCAAGCCUGCCAUGCCCCCAUUAAUCCCCUGGAUCUUGUGCAUCUGGGCCCUAUCGUUGACUUGCCUGGCCUGAUUUUGUAGCCAUGGCCUCAGAGAAAAUAGGUUUGGAGGACAAUGCCGAGAAAAAGAUGGCUGUGUGAAAGCCAAGUGGGAUGCAAUUCUCUAAUCUUUUCUGUAACAACCAUGAUAAAAAGAAGAUGAAUAUGAGGAGCAAGGAGAGCUGUUUGCGUGUGAGCUCGAGCUGCUGGUUAAUUUCUUUUCACUGAAAUAGGCUCUGGCAUGAAUCAGACCAUGGCAGACAGAAGUACUUUGUUCCAUGUCAGGAGAAUUAACUAGUUUUUCAUUGUGGACAGAUGGGGAAAAAAAAAAGUAAGAAGAUAAAGAAAGUCGGAGCUUAAGAAAUGAAGUGGACACAGUUAUUCUUUGUACUCUGCUCACACUUUGUGCCAUGGGGGUGAAGCAAAUUGAGGAUAUUAGGUCAUUAAUUUCCAGGUAUUCUAGUGAGGGAAGACUAUAGAAUCUAAUUAUCCUUAUUUUUCAGAUACUGAGAGAAUAGCCUCCUGCAGCCUCCAUACCUCAUUGGUGGUAGAAACCCAAACCUCAGGCCAAUUUGAUAUUUCCUGGAUUUGAGUAGAGAUUUACAGAAGCUGUGCUCCUUAGAGCAAGCAUGUCCUGGACCCCAUAUCGACAGCAGCAGUGGGCUGUGGUCCUUUGUCUACAAGUUGUGUACAGAAUGAUGGCCAGUUCCAGAGACGUGGGGCUAGGAUGUGCCUGCUUGUUUAGAAAAAGAAACAAAUGACAGGGCUUUGCCCAUCAGCACAUUUAUUAACAUCAUGUUGUCAUUUCCUAAAACAAUUAAUUUUUUAGGGAAAAAAUAUCACAAAGAAAAAAGCCACUCUCACAGCCAUGAAUUCCAGACUGAUAAAGUGGUGGCAAGUGACCUUUGGAUGCUGCUGUGGUCAUCAUGCUCUUCCUUGACUUGCUGAAUUAUCUCUCCAUCUUCUAAAAUAGCUUUUGUCAGUACAUAGAGGAAAUGUCAGCAUUAGGAGAGAAGAAAAAGGUAGACUAUGGAAUUUAGUUUUAUUAGGCUCCUAAUGGGAUAAUGAUAAUUUUAAAUCACUUUAAUUGUGGAAGAGAAUUUUCCAUCUUAGAGCGAUGUUGAGAGGGAUACACAGCAUAACUGGAUAGUUUAAAGUUGUAAAAUAUAUAGUAUGUUAAGUCUAGAUAGAUUAAAAAAAUCCCUCACCUUCCAUGUUGAAAAAAAUGAGUAUGUUUGCAUGCAUAUUUAAAAUGAAUAAUGUUUAUCAGAUAUUGUUGUAGGAAGUUCCGUCUUCAAUACCCACAUAUUACACUUUGCACAAUUCUAGAAAUAUAUGCCUGUCUAGUCAGUCUUUUGGGUUACAUACUUACACAAAACACAAACACUUUCCAUACAUGCACCAUUGGCAAAUUAUUCUUUCUGUUUCUCAUAUAUAUGUACAGAAUUAUAUUCCCAUUGUGUUCACCCAGAACUCACCCUGGGAAAACUGCUGGUCACGAGCACUUGACAACGAAGGAUAGACCAGUGGUCUAGUACUGCAUCUGGGCCAGUAUAGAGCAGGCCUUCUGUGAGACCUCAGGAGGGAGAACCAGAGUGGAGGAUCCUCAACACUAAUUACUCUGUAAUCAAAGUAGCAUUAUGCCUUGUAAAAAAGGGUGAGGCAGAGACAGAGCACAAAAGGAACUUUUAUAGAACUAAUAUGAAAUGGGAGAAAAGGGGACUGAAGCUCAACAUGGUAAGUAAGAUGCCUAAAUAUUUUAUUAAAUACUUCUGGGAAGGCUGUGAGAGCAGACACUCAUGCUGGCCUGAACGAUUGCUAAGACUGGCUUGCCUGGAUUCCAAUUAGAGCUGGCUGAAGUCCUGAAGCAGCCUGGCCUAAGGAGGGGACUUAAGCAUCUCCUGGCAUUUGGUGUAACAACAAAGCCAAGCCAACAGGCAUUUAUACAUUUAUUUUUAUAUUCAUGCAUUAUUCAUCAAUUACCAUGUGUUAAACUCAGACC